UGUGUGUAUGUGUUAUGGAAUGUGUCUAAUGUAUUUUAUCAAAUAAAUCUGCAGUCUGUUUUAUCUAAUAUAUAUCUGCUCUCCUUUCUUUCCACAGGUAUUUAAUUCUUCUUACUGUUCUACUCUCAGAUGUUCCUGAAUGUAUCUCCAAACUAUUGUUUAGAAAUGGAGGGAAAAAAAUAGAAUAUGGGACAGAAGAGAGAGCCAGGCAGUCUCCUUGCACAGAACAAGGUUCAUAUCUCCCAAUGAGAGUUACAGAGCUGAAAAGUGAUAGAUAGUACCUGACUGUGCCAGCCUAUGCCCCCA
rnacentral:lncRNA from 1 species